rnacentral:rRNA from 1 species
GACGUAGGGCGCGAGCGUUGUCCGGAUUUAUUGGGCGUAAAGAGCGCGCAGGCGGUCGUUCAAGUCGCGUGUGAAAGCCCCCGGCUCAACUGGGGAGGGUCACGCGAUACUGAUCGACUCGAAGGCAGGAGAGGGAAGUGGAAUUCCCGGUGUAGUGGUGAAAUGCGUAGAUAUCGGGAGGAACACCAGUGGCGAAGGCGACUUCCUGGCCUGUUCUUGACGCUGAGGCACGAAAGCGUGGGGAGCAAACAGG